UGCCUUGAGAUCGGAGGGCAAAAGACCUACAUUAGUCGGGCCGGGUAACCGGCUAUGCUGGUAGAGUGUGGGUUGGAAUAGGCAUUUCGGACCCGGGGGGCAGUACCCCGGCGCCUCCACCAGCAGCGGUGCGAACGUGCUUGAGCGGGGGCUCGGCCGCACCGUUGCUGAUGGGGGCGAAACAGGAUCGACGAGUGCAAUAAAGUUCCUGCUGCCAGUCGGCUGAGGUGAGCCGUAAAACCGCCUUUCACACAAGUGCCAACGAUAACGAGGCGCUCGCAAUUGCUGCGUAACUGACGGCCUAACGGUCAGAAGUUACAAAGACAAAAGCGCGGUCGGACCCCACCGGGCAACAGAAGGGGAUUCCAGCGGUUCGGGGAGCGCCGGGCAACAGAAGCUCCCCACU
rnacentral:tmRNA from 2 species